rnacentral:rRNA from 1 species
UACGUAGGGUGCGAGCGUUGUCCGGAAUUAUUGGGCGUAAAGAGCUCGUAGGCGGUCUGUCGCGUCGGUCGUGAAAACUUGGGGCUUAACCCUGAGCUUGCGGUCGAUACGGGCAUGACUGGAGUUCGGCAGGGGAGACUGGAAUUCCUGGUGUAGCGGUGAAAUGCGUAGAUAUCAGGAGGAACACCUGUGGUGUAGACGGCUUCCUGGACCACAACUGACGCUGAGACACGAAAGCGUGGGGAGCAAACAGG